rnacentral:rRNA from 1 species
AUGAGGAUGGAGUAUUAUUUUGAUGCUGAGAUGUCCCAAUGUGAGAAGGAUCCGUCACGAGCCCUUUCAUGGUUUCAAAUCUACACAAGAGUGAAGGUUGGGCCAACUACUUGUGCUGCAAUGUUUGAUCGUUCUUCAGAAAUAAAUUUGGUGAGUCAAACGUUGGUUGAUGCAUUGAAGCUAGUAGUAAUAGAGCAUCUAGACCCAUAUAAGCUCAGAUGGCAGGGAAAAUUUGUGACAAUAAAACAUCAAGUAGAGGUGACUUUUGGAUUUUGUGGAUUUACCCAUUCAGUUUUCUGUGAUGUUCUUCCAUGUCAUAUGUAUAUGUGUAGCUUGAUACUUGGUAAAUCUUGGACAAAAAAGAGGGAGCUACAGAUUGAUAAAUCUGGCUAUUUUUCUUGGAGGAAAUUUCAGAUUUUUCGUAAUGGUCGAUGGAUUUAUUUUGAAGCAUACUCUUCCGAACAAUAUUUGGAAGAUCGUAAGAGAAGAGACCGAGCACAUGCUGCAAUUAAUGCAAAGAAAGAAGAAGAGCAGAUCUUGCUAGAAAAGAAAAAGGCGGAGGAUAGUCUUGUUGGAACUAAAAACAUUUCUUCACAUGAGAAGAACAAAGAGAAACCAACAGUACCAACGAGUGGGCUGAAUAUGCAACUUAAGAGGGUACAGGAUGGAGAUAAAUUGGCAGUAGACAGAGGUCAGCGCAUGAGUUUAUUUCAAACUCAGUGA